CUGGUGGUGUCAACCCAUGGCUCAACUGGAAGCACUGUGGAAGAAGAUGGAGGGUGUGACAAAUGCUGUGCUUCAUGAAGUUAAAAGAGAGGGGCUCCCCGUGGAACAAAGGAAUGAAAUCUUGACUGCCAUCCUUGCCUCGCUCACUGCACGCCAGAACCUGAGGAGAGAAUGGCAUGCCAGAAAAAAAUGUUUAUAAAAAUAGACACAGGAUCUUGUCAUGUUGCCCAGGCUGGUCUUAAACUCCUUGCCUCAAGCGAUCCUCUUGCCUUGACCUCCCAAAGUGCUGAGAUUACAGGCGCGAGCCACCAUGCCUGCCCAGUGGCAGACGGUUUCAACUAAAGUAAUGACUAAAUGAUUUCCAAUUUACCUUUCAAUAAUUAAUUUUAAAAUUUUCUCUGUAUUAUAAGUUAAGCAUGUAUAUUCAUUAAAGUAUACAUAGUAAGGAAUGGAAUAUCA
rnacentral:lncRNA from 1 species